GCCAGUGUGGUAUAGUGGUUUGAGUGUUGGACUAUGACUCUGGAGAUCAGAGGGUUCAAUUUCCUGUUUGGUA